AUUGAACGCUGGCGGCAUGCCUUACACAUGCAAGUCGAACGGCAGCACGGGUGCUUGCGCCUGGUGGCGAGUGGCGAAUGGGUGAGUAAUACAUCGGAGCGUACCUUUUCGCGUGGGAUAACGCAGCGAAAGCUGUGCUAAUACCGCAUACGCCCUGAGGGGGAAAGCGGGGGUUCGACAGACCUCGCGCGAGUAGAGCGUCCGAUGCCUGAUUAGCUUGUUGGUGGGGUAAAAGCCCACCAAGGCGACGAUCAGUAGCUGGUCUGAGAGGACUAUCAGCCACACUGGGACUGAGACACGGCCCAGACUCCUACGGGAGGCAGCAGUGGGGAAUUUUGGACAAUGGGGGCAACCCUGAUCCAGCAAUGCCGCGUGAGUGAAGAAGGCCUUCGGGUUGUAAAGCUCUUUUGUCAGGGAAGAAACACCGGCUCUAACACAGUCCGGGAAUGACGGUACCUGAAGAAUAAGCACCGGCUAACUACGUGCCAGCCGCCGCCGUAA
rnacentral:rRNA from 1 species